rnacentral:rRNA from 1 species
GACGAACGCUGGCGGCGUGCUUAACACAUGCAAGUCGAACGUAGAGCGAUGGAAGCUUGCUUCUAUCAAUCUUAGUGGCGAACGGGUGAGUAACGCGUAAUCAACCUGCCCUUCAGAGGGGGACAACAGUUGGAAACGACUGCUAAUACCGCAUACGAUCUAAUCUCGGCAUCGAGGAUAGAUGAAAGGUGGCCUCUACAUGUAAGCUAUCACUGAAGGAGGGGAUUGCGUCUGAUUAGCUAGUUGGAGGGGUAACGGCCCACCAAGGCGAUGAUCAGUAGCCGGUCUGAGAGGAUGAACGGCCACAUUGGGACUGAGACACGGCCCAGACUCCUACGGGAGGCAGCAGUGGGGAAUCUUCCGCAAUGGACGAAAGUCUGACGGAGCAACGCCGCGUGAGUGAUGACGGCCUUCGGGUUGUAAAGCUCUGUUAAUCGGGACGAAAGGCCUUCUUGCGAAUAGUGAGAAGGAUUGACGGUACCGGAAUAGAAAGCCACGGCUAACUACGUG